CAAUGUUUGUCUGUAAAAAUUUUUAUUUAAAAGUUUAAACUUAGCUUGAUAUUUUAGUUGAUAAUUUUUUUAUAUGUAAAUUUUAUAAUUUAAAUAAUAAGUUAGCAGUAUUUAAUUUUAAAUAUUUAAGGAAUUAAGAUUUAGGAAUUAAUUUAAGUAUUAACAAAAUUUGUGCCAGCAGUUGCGGUUAUACAAAUAAUGCAAUUAAAUUUUAUUGGUUAAUAAUAAAUUAUUUUUAAUUAGUUUAAUAUUAAAUUUAUUAAGUGAAAUUUUAAAUUUAUUUAAAUUAUUUAUAAUUAUUUGAUUUAUGAAAUUUUUAUUUAAACUAGGAUUAGAUACCCUAUUAUUUAAAAUGUAAAACUUUACCUAAUUAGUAUUAGUUAUGUUCUUAAAAAUUAAAAGUUUUGGCGGUAUUUUAGUCUAUUUAGAGGAAUCUGUUUAGUAAUUGAUAAUCCACGAUUUAUGGUACUUAAAUUUUUAAUUUGUAUAUCGUCGUAGUAAAAUAUUUUAUUAGAAAAUUAAUAUUUAAUAAUUAUGAUUAUAAUUUAAAUCAGAUCAAGAUGUAGUUUAUAUUUAAGGAUAAAUGGAUUACAAUAAAGUUAUUUUUGGAUAAUAAAUUUAAAAUUUAUUUGAAAUUGGAUUUAAUAGUAAUAUAAAUUAAAUUUUUUAUAUGAUUUUAGCUCUAAAAUAUGUACAUAUUGCCCGUCGCUUUCAUUUAAAAUGAAAUAAGUCGUAACAAAGUAGAUGUAUUGGAAAAUGUAUCUAGAAUCAA
rnacentral:ncRNA from 1 species